ensembl:miRNA
AUAUAAUACAACCUGCUAAGUGUCCUAGCACUUAGCAGGUUGUAUUAUCAUUGUCCG